CACAAUUGAGAAUGACUUCCGGAUGGGAGCCGAAACGUCUUGAAUUUGACAUAAAGCAGGCAUCCUAAUUUUCUAUGUGACAUUUCAAAUAGCUUACUGUGGACAAGCACAUCAUAUAGUUUUGAGUAAGCUAUUAUUGGUUUGAUUAUCGCAAACAGUUCACUCGUGAUUAUCUUGAUAGUAUGAUCAAAGUAUAGCAGGUUUUCAGGUUUUUCUAUUUGUAAAAAUUUGUCAGGGAGGGGAGGGCUCAAUUCCUGCCCCCACUUACUGAACACAGUCAGUCCAGAGAGCCACACCACUACCUACAGUACAGUGACUAUAAGUAGUGGCGACUCCCUUCAAGGGAGAGGAGGAGAGGAGGUAAGGUCUGCCCAAAAAGUUGCUUUUUCAUUAGGCGCUUUUUUGAGAAUAAGUCACUAAACGGGUCUUAAAAGUCACCAAAUCUAGCAAGAAAGUUGCUAAAUUGGCAACACUGGUUUUCUUUGCUAGCAUCAGUUUAUAAACUUCUUGGUUGUGGGUGGUGCUAUAUGUGCUAUAUAACCCCACCCAGACUUCCAGCUUGCAGUGGGGGGCUUCUCAAAUGUACUGUAUUAAAAUAUUUAUUUAUUUAUAUAUUUUUUUACUAGCAGAAUUCAGCUUAGUCUGGCUUCUUUUGGACUCCCUGGUUUCACGGAGCCAAAGCAUGUCAUUUCCACUGGGGGGGCAUGGUCCCCCUCACUCUAUGAACAUUGUCCUGUAACUGUCCAGACACCACAAAAAGAUCUAAGUUGAUAAAAAUGUUGAUACACUCAUCUGAGUCUCCUUCAGUUAUACAAGCAGCAGUGAAUGGUGUGUCGAUUGCAUGGCAGACAGUUUUGCCCUGGCUUUUGAUAACCACUAUCACCACACUGGUUAUCAGCCCAGUUUGAACGGGAUUAACAUUACAGGAAGAGGUGGGAAAUAUUCACUGUGCUCCUCUGUAAUUUAAUUUGUUCAGGACGACAUUUUAACCAUUGUGAUAUUACAGGAUGUGGUCUAUUAUAGACAUGGACAUUCCACAGAACAAAGCCAAAAGAGAAAGCCAAAAAUUAGGCUUAGGCUUAUCAUGUCUGAAAAAGAUGCAGAAAUACAAAAACAAUAAGUCCCUUAAGACUCUCCAGUUGAUCCAGAAUGCUGCAGCACAUGUUCUCUGCACUGGCUUCCUGUAAAAUCCAGAAUAGAAUUAAAAAUCCUUCUCCUCACCUACACAGCUCUUAACGGUCAGGCACCAUUAAAUCUUACAGAGCUUAUAGUACCCUAUUACCCCACUAGAACACUGCACUCACAGAAUGCAGGGUUACUUGUGGUUCCUAGAGUUUCCAUAAGUAGAAUGGGAGCCAGAGCCUUCAGCUAUCAAGCUCCUCUCCUAUGGAACCAGCUCCUAGUUUGGGUUCGGGAGGUUUAUUGAACAUAGCACCACAUCUAGCUCGGUGACCAUCCCCACCCACAGAAUACCUAGUGCCUCACUGUCUGCCAGUGUUAUUUCCUCACUAUGGCUGACUCCGGUAACACUACAACGUUGAAGGUACAAACAAAGCACGCAAAUUGUUCUGUUGUUGGCUGCAUGCACCAACAGAAAAGUCUUCAUGUACUUCCAUCAUCCGAGGAUGCCAAGACCCAGUGGAUUACCUUUAUUUUUGAUGGAAAAGUGCCCAUCAACUGGAAAACUCUCAACGAUAGCCAGAACAAAUCAGGAUUUGCUUCAAAACUAAGGCUCAAGGAUGGAUCGAUAAUGUUACUGGCUGUCCGUGACUGGCUGUCCGUGACCCAACUUCAAACUUGGAACCUGCCAGCACAUCACUACAGUUACCUGCAGCAAGGGAUGUUGCCUGCCAGACUAACCCACCACCACAGAGACAUACUGCUGGCAUGCAAUUGUCUUUGAGGACUCUUCAUCAAAAGGACAGCAGAGAACUCUUCAUCAGAAGCUACUGUAUCCUGCAAAGACUUUGGUGUUGGCACAUCCCCAGUUCCCUAUGCAGCUCCUCAGCCUUUUCAGUGAUGUGGAGAAGCUGAAUCUGCAAUGUUUUACAGAUCAUCUGAGUGACCUGAUGAAGCUUGUGUUUGAUGAGGUGUUCCUGGACCCACCAGACUCUCCUCACAGUAUGAGAAACCAUCAGAGGAGGAUGUUAUUGCUGGGCAGGUGUCGUGCUUCAGUCAAGCAAAGGGCUGAAGACAACACAGCGGCCAGCAGCAUCAGGAAAGUCUCGGAAACACUUUACCUCAAUGGAGGACAUGAUCUGCACAGUUGACACAAACGUUAUGGCUUUGUGCAUUAUAUACACCCAAUUUAUAUUUCCCUUUCACUGGCUAUGAAUAAAGUGCUUUAUUUUUAA